rnacentral:rRNA from 1 species
UACGUAGGAGGCAAGCGUUGUCCGGAAUUACUGGGCGUAAAGCGCGUGUAGGUGGUGGGACAAGUCUGCUGUGAAAGCGCCUGGCUUAACCGGGCGAGGUCGGCGGAAACUGUCCGACUCGAGGACGGUAGAGGGGGGUGGAAUUCCCGGUGUAGUGGUGAAAUGCGUAGAGAUCGGGAGGAACACCGGUGGCGAAGGCGGCAUCCUGGACCGGCAUUGACGCUGAGGCGCGAAAGCCAGGGGAGCAAACGGG